rnacentral:lncRNA from 1 species
AUUCUUCUUUCUUUUUUCUUCAAACAUAUUAAAGAGAAAAAUGUAAAUAACUUGGUUUGAAUAUUGAAAUGCACCUUUUACAAAAGGGGACGCUUUAGAAUGUUUGUCUAGAAAAACAAGUGAGCUGAAACAUUGUGCUAAUAGGAUUUGCAGCAUAAAAUAUUGCUAAUUUCUCUUGUGUGACUACAGGUGGCAGUGUAGAAGCCAAGAACAAGAAUUGGCAGAAAUUGUGUUCUGUGUAUGAGACUAUGAAGAGUGUACUCAUGACUAAGCACAGGAACCUGGAAAACCACAGGCUUUGGUCAGGUGAUCCCUGAUGAGCAGCCAGCCCACCAAGAAGGGAUUUGAGCACACAGGUGAAUGCUGGAACAUCUCAACCAUCAAGAAGUUUUCUAGGCCAGGAUCUUACUUGUGGCAGUGUCUAUGUUGGAAGUUUCUGGCUGUCCCCAAAGAUUUUUGAAGAUGAGGAAGAACAAAACCCCCUUCAUUUUGAAUAUCUGAGGUCUUACUUGUGUUACAACAGUGCACGGUUGCUUUUAGUACUGGACAGUGAUGCAACCCUCCUAGUGAAUCUGCAGACUGGAGUUAUUCCCUGCAUAAUGAAAUAUCAAAGUCAACAUCCUGAAAAAAAUUAUGUUGGUCUUGUAAUGGUCACCCUACACUCCAUCAUUACAGUAAUUCUGCCUGCUGCAUGUGCAAGUACCUUCCUGUAGAAUUUUUGGUUCCUUUUUGCACGUGAUUUUGUGCUCUUGAAAAGUGAUGCUGUGUAGUUAUUGUGUGAUGAGAUUUGUCUGUUUCAUAAUCAUCUUGAACCAGAUGUUUCACUUUUCUUCACCAUCAGAAAUAUCUCCUAUAAAUAGAUGCAUAGUGCUGUAAUACAGUUUUGUAGCUGUCUUGGUCAUGGUGAAACUGUGUUUAUAAAUCAAUGCUCAUUUUAAGAGCAACAUCUGGUCUAAAUUUUGUAGCCAGCUGUUCACACCUUAAGGAAAUCAUCACAGGUCUGGAUAGCUUGUGAAUAAUUAAAUAUUUGUAUUUUACUCAUCUUUUGGUGCCCUUGUCUAACAAGUGUGGGGUUGGGCAAUACACCUGAAAUUAUUUUUAUUGGCAAUGAUUUCCAUUCUCUACCUUCAUUGCAAAUACUUGGAGUAGCUGUUAAUUUGAGAGGCCCAUUUUGCUUUGUCCUUUUAAGUUAUAUUUUUUGGGGAGAACAGAUAUUAAAACCCUGAAUAAAACAUUUAAAAGAUCAGACUUUAUAUCCA